AGCUCAGAUGAAAAUUAAGCAGGGCGCCAUUGUGGGUGAUGACCAGAAGAUGGCAACUACUUUUUGGUUGUGACCAACAAAUACUUCUCUAAUAAGGUGGUAUUUAAGCUAAGAUUUGUGUGUCAAGGAGGAAAUAAGCAUAAGAAGAUAACGGGGGAGCAGCUGUGACCAUAAUGCAGAGAAUUCCUGUGAGCAGGUACACAUAAACAGAUAGCAAUAGAAGCUAAAUUUUAAAAUGAUGAACCUUUUCCAAUUCGAUCACUUCUGAUCAAUACAAUGUCUGAUUUUCAUAAGACCUCAACUAAAAUUCAAACUCAGAUGUCAAGAAGGUUUAAGUAACCCUCCCUCCAGUCUCUAGAAAAAGAAUAAAGUUCAGGAUUUUCAAAGGCCAUGGCUUAUAAUAGCCCAAUGAAUACAGCUAUAAAACCUGCAUGCAGAAUUAGCAUCUAUGUGAUGUUGCAUCAGAGUACAAGAAGAAAAUGAAUGUUAAAUAUUGUUCUUGAAAAAAGUCAUUCUAUUGUAAUUUAUGAUACAUCCAUUAGUAUUACAGAAAUGUCACUCUUAAUAAUUUUAUGUUUUAAUCACAAAAAUGUUAAGCUUAGAAUAAGAUUUUUUUUCUAACUAGUGAAUUGUUUUUUCUCUGUUUCCCCAUGCUAGGGAAAACCUUAGAUUGCUAAUGUUAAUAUAUAAGAUAGGAUUGAUAUUACUAUGAAUACCUAAAGAAACUGAUCUUUGAUUUAAAAUGCUUAUGAUGUUUCUAUAAUUUAGUCCU